UUUUGCUGGAGACCCCUGUGUACCUGAGGCCUUCUGAAGAAGAACAUGCAGUUGUGAUCCUCCUGUUCUAUCAACAUGGCAAGCACCAGAAAAAACAGUAGUAUCUUACCACCAUCGUCUACUCUUGUACCACUGCAGAAAACCUGUACCUUGCACCACUUGCAAAAACUACAAGAACUGUGCAUUCAACAGCAAUGUAGAGAGGAGUGUGGAGGGGAAGGCAGUGGUUCUCACUUCUGGAAAGCCACGUGGCCUUCUGGACGCGACAGGAGGCUGAGUACUCUGACAUUCUGGCUUUUUUCCUUUGACCAUAUUCACAUCUGGAAGUGUGAUGACUUACAUGCUUAUGCACGGGAUGCAGAGAAACACAGUUCCUGAUGGUACAGUAAUUCAGGGCUCAGCAGCUGGCUGAUGAGAUCCAAAGGUCAAAGCCUAAACAGUCUGGUCCAAAAGAAGAAAACAAUGGAGCUGCAAAGUUAGCAAUACAGUGCCUGUCCUAUUUGCACACACAAUUUCAAUGUUAUAGAUUUUGUUACAAAGAUUAGAACACAGAAAUAUGUAAAUGCAGUGCAAGUCAUUUAAGAGGAGAAUGAAGAGAUGCUUAUUCCCUCUUUCCUCCCACAUCGUCUCACACCAAAUACUCAGGUUUUUGUCAAGUCCUCUGAUAAUUUUUUGGACACAGCUUUACUUCUUCCCACAAAAACAUGGACAGAAGCUGGUGGAUAUGUUGCAUGGGUAUCCAUGUUGGAAGUGGAACUGUGUGGAUUAGCCCUGGACAAAAGUACAUCUGUUAAAGGAUAACUUUCUGAACAAAACCAUGCCAGCAGUGUGGCACUUGUGUACAGCAGUACUGGACAUGUGGAAAUCAGAGUGUGUCUGUGUGUAACAGACAAGUGUUAAAGCAUAGCUUGGUACUGAGCUCAGGCUCACAGCUUUGUACCGAGUGCAGUGUGGGGCACUGAUUAUUGCACAGUGAGAAUUUGAUCUGAAAAAGUAUUAAUUUUCUCCAUGGUUUUUGUCUGAAGCAAAUGAAACACUUAUCAUAGCGAUGUAUCACUAGAGACAUUCCUGGAAAGAACAUGCUGUGCAAUUAUUUAUGUCUGCUAGAGGCGUAACAAAAUGAAAAGGCUGAAAAUUCAAGCUAGGAAAAUGCACUUCAGGAACAUGAUGUGGGUUUUUAGAGGUGCAGUGCUAUCCGUUGGAACCACCUAUCAAGAGAGAAGCAGUUAAAUUUUCAGCACUACAGACAAAGGGAAUCAGGACUGGAA